rnacentral:rRNA from 1 species
AUUGAACGCUGGCGGCAGGCCUAACACAUGCAAGUCGAGCGAGCGGCGGACGGGUGAGUAAUGUAUGGGGACUGCCCGAUAGCGGGGGAUAACUACUGGAAACGGUGGCUAAUACCGCAUACUAUCGGAUAACCCAUAUGGGAUUAGCUAGUCGGUGGGGUAAAGGCUCACAUAGGCGACGAUCUCUAGCUGGUCUGAGUGGAUGAAAAGCCACACUGGGACUGGGACCCGGCGCAGACUCCUACGGGGGGAGCAGUGGGGAAUAUUGCACAAUGGGCGCAAGCCUAGUUCAGCGAAAGCGCGUGUAUGAAUGAGGACUGAGGGUUGUAAAGUACUUUCAGCGGGGAGGCGGUACCCGCAGAAGAAGAACCGGCUAACUACGUGGCAGCCACCGCGGUAAUAC